rnacentral:lncRNA from 1 species
GCCAACUGCAGCAGAAGUGACAAUAAACAUAAAAUAUUUUGAGUUAAAACUUUGUAAAAUGCUAUAAAAGCCAUCAAAAAACAAAAAUGGAGGGGUCUUUUUUUUUUUUUGAGAAUCAAUACAAAAAACAAUAGAUUUUCAAAUACAACACAGAGAGUGAAUAUAAAAAAAAAAGAGAGGAAGAAAAUCAAAAAUAAAAAUCCAGUCAGUAACUCAAGAGAUGAUUUCAUUUUUUUAUUUUAUUUUCUUUCUCAUUCUUCAAAAUCUUUUUUUCUUUUAUAUAAAUAUAAUAUAAAAAAGGAGGGAAAAGAGGCUUACCUUUAAAAUUAUCGAAAAACGCUGACUUUUUGAGUUUUGGUCGCCGUGUACGGCUUCACUGACGACAACAGACGGCGGUGGAGGUGUCGGAGACUUGGCCGGACUUGGAGAAAGGGAGGAGAGAGUUAGGGGUGUGCAAAAUUCGGGUAAAAACAAAAAAAUCCGGUUAACCGAUCAAAUUUAGUUAAUCGGUCGGUUAACCGAAUUAAUUCGGUCGG